UGUCUCUAUGGGUUAUCUGCCAAGUAAUUGUCAGUUCUUUAACCUAAAAAUAUCUGGGGACAACUCCAAAGAUCAAUCCGAACACAGAGAUAUUUUGGCUUUCUCCUCUCCACAUGCUUACCUCCCUUCAGCUGCAGGUUUUUCCCACAUUCUGUUUUGCUUUCAUUUCUAGGUCUGUACCAAACGGUGACCCAGCCCCAACCUGGGGCCACACAGGGUGGAUUUGAGCUGGCUUGCACUGAGCACUGCAAGUCAAGGCUGAUUCCCUCACUUUACUCCUGAUUUGAAGAUGCAGACAAACAGAGAAAUACAUUCAUGCAGACCUAUAUUUCACCUGUAUGAAACGCAGAAGACAAUUCCAUGCUCCUGCUUCCGGAUCAGCAAGUGCUUUCUCCUUCCAUCUCUCCUGAUGCCAUCUCAUUUCUCUUGUGCUCUGCUUCUUUUAGCCACUUGGACAAACAACUUUUAUCAGUUAAAGAACCAAUGUGAAAAAAUGAAUGCCUGCUGAUUUUAAACCACGCUAAUGAGGGAUCCAUCACUUUAUUUUCUGACUGUUCUAUGAAUGUCGACACAAAGUCAACUUUCAUAGCGCAGAAGUUAUUCAGGAAGACAGUUUAUUUGCCCUGAACAAUGGUCCACUUUUAAUAACAUUAUUGCAGAACAACUGAACUCCGAAGCCUACUCCAAACAAAAUUUUAAAUGACUUGUCUCAG
ensembl:lncRNA